AGGGCAUUUGAUCCUCUGGAACUGGAGCUUAAGCGUUCGUGAGCAGCCCAUUGUGGGAGUGGGAACCAAAGCCAGGUCCUCUGGAAGCAUAGCAAAUGGGAGGAGUGGGCCCUGGUUCCUGAGCCUGAGAGAGCUACUUGAAGAGCUACAACUCACUGAGAAACAUACAGUGGUGAGGGGUGGAAUGACUUCACCCAAGACCGC
rnacentral:lncRNA from 1 species